rnacentral:rRNA from 1 species
CGCAAGCCUGACGGAGCAACGCCGCGUGGGGGAGGAAUGUCUGUGGAUUGUAAACCCCUUUUCUCAGGGAAGAAGUUCUGACGGUACCUGAGGAAUCAGCAUCGGCUAACUCCGUGCCAGCAGCCGCGGUAAGACGGAGGAUGCAAGCGUUAUCCGGAAUUAUUGGGCGUAAAGCGUCCGUAGGCGGUUUAUCAAGUCUGCUGUCAAAGACCACAGCUCAACUGUGGGCAGGCGGUGGAAACUGAGGAACUGGAGUGCGGUAGGGGUAGAGGGAAUUCCCAGUGUAGCGGUGAAAUGCGUAGAUAUUGGGAAGAACACCAGUGGCGAAGGCGCUCUACUGGGCCGUAACUGACGCUGAGGGACGAAAGCUAGGGGAGCG